rnacentral:pre_miRNA from 1 species
CAGGUACUCCCUCCGUCCGAAAAUACUUGUCAUCAAAAUGAACAAAAAAGGAUGUAUCUAGAACUAAAAUACAUCUAGAUACAUCCCCUUUUAUUCAUUUUGAUGACAAGUAUUUCCGGACGGAGGGAAUAGAUC